GACCCAGCAUGAUGUAGUGGUUUGAGUGUUGGACUAUGACUCUGGAGACUAGGGUUCGAUUCCUUGCUCGGUCA